AUAUAUAUAUAUUUACAUACAGAUAGUUGUGUGUUUGUGCGAUGUUAUAGAUUGGAUAAGUUGCUCUUUAUUUAUUUUAUUUUAUUUAAGUUUGUUCGGUAUUUUAGUUGGUUGUAAUACGUAUCAUUUUAUUUAUUUAACCUUAUAUUAUUUCUAAUGGUAUUUCGUCAAUUGAUUGUUUUUAUGUAAUAGUUUACAUUUUCGUUUAUGAAUACGGCAUUAAGCUUUGAUGUGUGUUUGUGUGUGAUGGUGAGCGGUUUUGACAGUUCAGUUCGAUAUCGCAGAUCGAACAACCCAUUCCUAGUAUUUAUUUUAUUCAUUUUAAGUUUGUUCGGUAUCUUAGUGGUUCCUUAUGGUAUUUCAUCCAUUUGAUCUUCUAUAUUUUCCUCGAUAUUUUAGUUUAUUGGAGUUUAUAUAUUUUCCACUGUGGGUGCAGGUUAUGUUGGUUAUGGACAUGGAAGUACCUGCAUUUGUCCAACCUGUACAAGUAUGUAUUAUUUUAUUUAUUUUAACUUCGUCCUCUUUCCUAUGGUGUUUCGUCCGUUUGUCUGCCUGAUCUUGUAUGCAUUGUUUUAGCGCAAGAGGAGGAGAGAUUCCAAAAAAUGUGUAGGCGGCUCGUGAAGACGAUACAGAUGAAUGUGCGAAGGCUCACUUCCCUGAGGAGACUUCUGUCGGAGUCCUGGAUAUUCUCCUGUGUCACCGCUCUUGUGGUCAGAGCGAUCUUCUCUGCUGUAUGCUCCCAGUACAUGGAGAGACUUCGUGAGAUGUGUCUUGACGUUAUUUUACUCAUUUGGUUAAUAUUUUCAUCUGAUUGUUGCCUCCAGUGUUUGGUUUGAUUUAUUGUUUUCCGGUGUAGGUU